GUACACGCUGUGACUAGCAUAUCAAUAAGCGGAGGAAAAGAAACUAACAAGGAUUCCCCUAGUAACGGCGAGUGAAGCGGGAAGAGCUCAAAUUUGAAAUCUUAAAGGGUUUCCCUUUACGAAUUGUAGUUUAAAGAAGUGUUUUCUGUUGAGGUUUUGGUAAAAGUUCUUUGGAAUAGGACAUCAUAGAGGGUGAGAAUCCCGUAUUUGACCUUUACUUUCAACUUUGUGAUACACUUUCAAAGAGUCGGAUUGUUUGGGAAUGCAGUCCAAAAUGGGUGGUAAAUUUCAUCUAAAGCUAAAUAUUGGCGAGAGACCGAUAGCGAACAAGUACCGUGAGGGAAAGAUGAAAAGAACUUUGAAAAGAGAGUUAAACAGUACGUGAAAUUGUCAAAAGGGAAGCGUUUGACACCAGUGUUGUUUUUCUGAAAAUCAAUUAAAGAACUGUUUAUGCUAAGCUGUUUAGACUUUAUCAGCUAUCUGUUUAGUUUUGAGCUUUUCUUUAAUGCACUUUUCAGUUAACAAGUCAACAUCAAUUUCUUUUGCUGUAAAAAAGCUUGAGGAAGGUGGCUUGAGAUUCGUCUUAAGUGUUUAUAGCCUCUUGCCUAUGCAGUCGGAGAGAUUGAGGUCUGCAGCGUAGAUCCUUCGGGGCUAAAUGCAUUUGUGCUAAGUUAUAGCAUUUUAUAGACAACUUGUUGACUACUGAUUUGUCUUGUAGCUUACUCGCUUAUGUUAUUUUACCUACGCUUAGGAUGUUGAAUCUGUGCGAGACUAC
rnacentral:rRNA from 1 species